UACGUAGGCAGCGAGCGUUGUUCGGAAUUACUGGGCGUAAAGAGUGUGUAGGCGGUUCUAUAAGUUCGGUGUGAAAUCUCCUGGCUCAACUGGGAGGGUGCGCCGGAAACUGGAGUGCUUGAGCGUGGGAGAGGAAAGCGGAAUUCCUGGUGUAGCGGUGAAAUGCGUAGAUAUCAGGAGGAACACCUGUGGUGUAGACGGCUUUCUGGACCAUAGCUGACGCUGAGACACGAAAGCGUGGGUAGCAAACAGG
rnacentral:rRNA from 1 species